rnacentral:lncRNA from 1 species
UUCAAACACUUCCCAUCAAGUUAGUAGUAAACCCUUGGAAGCAAGAUUAGGGAAGAGUUCUCGAAAGAGAAGGAGUUCUAGCGCCCAAAAUAUGAAUAAUGAUUAUUCGGCAGCCGAAUCAAAAUCUUGACCGUCUAAUUACUGUUCGUCUAGCAGGACUUAAGGUGAUUCGAUAGUGGUUAAAAGUUAGUACAUGAUAUAGUAUUAUAUUUCUUUAAAUUUUAUUGAUGCAAAUUAGGAUAUUGCUAAAAUACGUAUACUAGUAUUAAUUAAUAAACGGUGAAAUGAUGAAUAUGAUGUUGAAAUGAUAUGCUAAUACAUGACAUGAUAGUAAAAGGUUAUGUUUGAUAUUUGAUAUGUUGAAAUAUGGUGAAAUAAUGAAUAUGAUGUGAAAAUGAUAUGCUAAUACAUGAUAUAAUAUUAAAUUAAUAUGUCAAAAUUUGAUAUGGUUAUAUGUUGAAAUAUGUUUGUGGGUUAUAACGAUGAGUAUGGGUAGUAAUCUGUAAGUUGAAUUAGUUGAAAGAGCUUAAGCCAUAUCGGUUGCAAGUUGCAUAGUCCUUCUAGAUGACUUUGCAACACAUGGUUUAAGUACACACAUAUGUACACAAAUUGGAGUGAUGUUGGCUUUAUGUUGUGGCUAGAUCAAACAAUGUGUAGGAUUUGGGAGGUGUGUCCUUAGGAUUGACAUUGUUGAACCAAUCCUGAACGACGUCGCAAGUUAUAAUACUUUGCAAGUCGGAGUAGCGAAAGUGGAAGUCUUGGAGUUAAUAAUUCAGGUAGGAGUCAUGACUUACUUAGAACAUGAGUCAUGACUUACUUAGAACAUUUACUGGCCAAACACAUGAGUAGUGAAAAGGGUAGAGCCUUGGGUUAAAAUAUUGUUAAGAAACCCAAAUUUAAUAAUCGUUUGAAAUAGUCAAAAUGAUAGUUAAAUGAUGAUUAUGUGUAUUGAUUGGAUGAUAAUGAUAAAUAGUUAAAAUCAUAAUAAUUUGAAUGAAUGAUCCUAGAAGAAAUUGCAUAUUUUGUUAUGUACAACUUUAUCGGCUCAUGAAGCAUAUGCUAACACUUAUUCUUUUGCUAUGUGCCUUAUGAUUGAUGCUGGUAGCUUAGAAGUUUGGCUUGGUGAGGUUGUGAAACUAUAUGGGUAGUUUCAUUUGAAUAAAUAUACCAUAUGAACAUGUUUGAUUUAAUUAUUUAAUAUUAUGAAUCGAUUGGUAAUGUUGUGGUUUAUUUAGAAAUGUUUUUAAAACAUAAAAAGUCUUCUGCUAUAUUUAUGAUUAAAAUGGUUUUAAAGUUGCGAAAUUUUUUAAAAAAAAAUCACGACGUUACAAUAUCACUAAGAGUCAUGAAUUGCCAUUUCAUCAAAAUACUCUCAUAGUCUGGUCAUGAGUUUCCGCCCUCUUGAAUUACUAAUGUAUGGUGCACUAAACAAACAUCAUCUUAUGGUUACAUGUAUUAUGUGAUCAUUGUGGAUUACUCCUCCUAAUACAUGGUUAUAUCCUUUAAAACGCAAAUAAGAUAAUUCCAUUAUAUUUUCCAUAUUGUAAUGUUAUUUGAGAAGCAAUUUAACUAGAAAAUCAUAUCAUUAUUUUUUUACAAUGGUGGUGAAUUUCUCAAAUUGAUUAUGCACCUCAACUUAGAAUGUAUCUCUCACCUAACCUCCCUACCUCACACAUCCAAGCAUAAUGGGACAGUUGAGCGACAUCAUUGACAUGUUGAAAAUGGUCUUUCAUUGGUACAUAAUGCCUCUAUAUCUCUAUAUUGUUGGCCUCGUGCCUUUCAAAACUUUGUUUAUUUAAUUAAUCGUCUACCCACCCCAUUACUAAAACAUCUCUCUCAAUACUCGAUUAUAUUUAAUCAAGAACCCAACUAUCAAAAACUUUGUCCCUUUGGGGUAUUUAUGAUUUUCAUGUUUACGUCCUUAUACAUAUCAUAAAUUACAACCUUGAUAAACUUCAUGCAUUUUUAUUAGUUAUUCGUGUAACGACCAGAAAAACGUUACUUCCUCAGUGAGAGGCUAAAGGAAAAUGGAAUUUACAAAUGUAGGAAAUGAAGAACCAACAAGUACAUUACCAUUAAGCAUAAGUCAACAAAAGUAAACCAACACACAAAUAUGGUGUGUGAGCUUGGCCACGACGCAUGGAUUAAAGGGGUGCAGGACGUUGGGCUUCGUCUGGGUUGCAAGGCAUGUGGCAAACACUUAGGACACAUGGCCAGGAAGGCGACAUGUAGUGCGACGUAGGGCUGACACAUAACAAGGACGCAACACAUCCUUAUGGAGGGCAUGACGCGUAGGCAUAUUUCCAACACUAUAAAUAGUUGGCACCCGUCUUUCAUUGCAUGUUUUCCCGAAGAUUGCUCGGAGGGCUAAGCAAUGAUGUGUAGUUUACGGAAGUGAGUGCUAACGCCGAUACAUGAGUAAUUGAUUACGAAGCAAGAUAAGGUAUUCUCUUAUCCCGUUAUUACGUCAGUAUAACUAAGUUACGUCAUUACGGUAAGGCUUUUAGAACCCAAGUCUAUUAGUAGAGUAUGUGAUACGGUGUUAUUGUGGACUUGAAUGAUAAGUUGGAUGGAUGAAUUCCCCGAUGGAAUUCUUAGUUGGUUAACAAAGAUUAUAAACCCAAUGUUAUGAGGUGAUUUAAAGAGAGUAAUAGAACUGACGGUAUACGGGGUUAGACCGUUUAGUAGUUGUAGUAUGGGACUUGGUAAGUAUAGUAACAAAUGGUUAUAUGGUCCAGUUAAAGGUCGAAUAAAUGACCACUAUGGUAGACGUGAUAGUAAAUCUUUACAAGUUCUAAGGAGCUUGGUAAUUUUUUGAAUAAGUUUGGAUAAGCGAUAGAUUGGAAAGCAUCACAACAAUUGAGGUCGCGACAAUAGUUACUCUUCACUAAGGUGGUGUUUUUUUCCGAAGCUAAAACGUUUGUAGUCUGCAGACCACAUCUGCAACCCUCUGCAGUAGAAGAAGAGAACCAAACAUCUACAAACUACAAUAAGAAGUUUGUUUUCUCUUUUAACGUUUGUAGGCUGCUAAAAUAAACUGAAAUGAACCAUACGAUAGUUAAAAAUAAUUCUAAAUCAAAAAAUUGUUUAGUUUUAAUCAUAUGCAAAUCGAAUACAAAGAUCAUUGUGAUGAUAUGAUUUUUAAAGACAUUUAUAUAAAAUAAUUAAACAUAAUAAUUGCUAAAUAACAAUAAAUAAAAUUGUUAAUUUAGUGAACAUGUUUAUUUUGUUAACUUUUCCAAGAUGAUGGUUAUUUCUUUGGUUAGCUUCAAUAGAUUUGGUAAUUUUACUGGUUAACUUUAUAAUUUAUUAAUAUUUGAUUAUACAUGAAUUUUUUAUCGAUAUGAAAUUUACCAAACAGUUUUGAAAUUAUGUAAAGUAUACAUUAAUUGUUUAUAAUACAUUUACUAAUAUUAUUAAAAUAAUAAACAUGUUGAAAAAUUAAAAAAAAAAUUGUGUUGAAUAAUAUAUCUUAAGGUAAGGUGGGAAGUGGUUUGAAGAUGAGGGUCCAGUGCUAUGCAAUGCAGUACACACGUAAUAGUUUCUAAAUCAAAAGUCUUUUAAAAAACAAACAACUGUAAAAUAUCAUGUUGUGCAUGUUCUGCGCAACACAGCCAGAAGUGGUCAAAAGUGAUUAAAAAACGGUUUCUAAAUAGUCAGGUGAGCAUAUGUGGAUUUAGUGGGUACAUAGCAAACUAAUUUAAGGGUUAAUAUUAUAUAAACCCUAAAUUUUUAACGCGUAAUUGGAAAAAGCCUUCAUAUUUUUUUAUUAUUGUUGUGGUCACAACUUUCUCGCAGAAUUAUCACUCUAGCCCACUUAACGAGUUUCAUGGUUAAGUUGGUUAAUUUUUUUUGCAAAAUCAGUCCUAAAAAGUUCAAAUUUAGUCCCUGAAGUUUGAAAAAAAUUACACCACAUGGUUUUUUAACUUUAUUUUUCGUUUUUUGUAUACUUUAUUUAUUUUCGUUUUUUUAAAAAUAUAUGUACAUUUUUUUAUUUUCUUUAUAUAUAUAUANUAUAUAUAUAUUACUUAUUUUCAUUUUUUAACUUUAUUUUUCAACAAUUUUUUUAAACCUUUUUACCUUUUGUUUUCUAUUUUUUAGUGUAUAUAUAGAGUAUAUUAGAGUUUUUUUAAGGUUUUUUCAUAUUUCUUUUCGUAUUAUAUUUUAUUUUUUUCAACUUUUUAUUUUUUAUUUUUUUUAAAACGUAAGUCCCUAGUUUCCAUAAUUUUAAAGCGUAUUUGUGUUGGAAGCUUAUUGAAUUAUGUAAUAAAUGAUGUAAAAUUCCUAUCAAGUUAUAUGUGAAAAAGGGGAAUAAAAUGUCUUUUAUGUGAUUGAGGAUAUAUUGUACUCCAUCCACAGGUGAGUGCAAGGAAGUGGAUCGUGGAUAUUAUGUAGGCCUCGUGACGAGCUAAAGGUUAUUAAAAGGAAUGUCCAAGAUUAUUAACUAUUGGUAAUAUUUCCAAUAAUAACAUGGUCAUUUUGGGUUGUCCUCAUGACCCAUUUGAGAAAUAAAGAAUUAGGAGAAAAUAAGCUUAUUAAUUUAUUAUGAACUAAUAAAUUAAUUGUAAAUUAUUUUGUAUUUAAUUAAAUAGUUUUAAUUAAUUAAAAAUGUUGAAUAUUAAUUAAUUAAUUGUUAAUUAAUUGGAAUUAUCUAGAAUCCUCCAAGAAGUGAUAGGGGUGAAAUUCUUAAAAGAUAAGGGUUAUCCUUAGGUUUUGGAAUAAUUUGAUGAUUAAUUAAUUGAUUGAAAUUUAUAUUGUAAUUAAUUAAAUAGUUUUGAUUAAUUAAAAGUGUUUAAUAUUAAUUAAUUAAUUAAUUGAAAUGUUCCAGAAUCCUCCAGGAAGUGAUAUGAUAGGGGAUGAAAAUCGUAAAGGAGAAGGGUUAUCCUUAGGUUUUUGAAUGACUUAAGGAUUGAGAAAUAUGCUAUAAAAAGGAUUCUAAGGAUCAAACCCUAAUACUCCUUGACUCUCUUGAAAUCGUCCCCUUGAUCUCUCUCUUUUCUCUUUGGACAAAAAUUAUAACCUUCCUAGGGUUAUAGAAUUUUCAAAAAAAAUUCAUUCCUCCUCCUAGGGUUUUCCUAUUUUCUCUUUUGGUGUCUUAGGUGCGAAGAAAAAGAUGGAUUUCUACUAUUGAGUUCUCUCAUCCAAGCAAAGUGGUUGUUACGAGAUCCCAAUCUAGGAAUCAACAAGAAGAUCAAGAUCAAGAGGUCAGUAAUUUUACAGUUUUCAAAGUAAGUUGCUAUGAUAAACUAAACCUAAAUCUAUUAUGGUGCAUUUACACAUAAGGUUUUAUAUUGUUUCCAUUAGCAUAACUAGUAUGUAUAAAUGUUUAAUUAUCGGAUUUUAGAUAAUGCCUAUUAAUAUACAAUAUUAUUUAAAUAAAGAUUUAAUUUUGAAUAUUUAAAUUAAACUGAAUUUUAAAUGUUAUUUAGAUAGAGAUUUAAAAUAAAUACGAUAUGAUAAACUUCUUUAAUUUAAUAAUAUUUAAAUAAGAUUAAAUGUGAAUAUUUAAUUAAAAAAUUUUAAAUAUUAUUUAUAGAUAAUUAAAUUUGAAUAUUUAAAUGAACAAGCUAUAAAUUUAAAAGGUUUAAACUUAUUAGAUAUGAUAUGAUAGUUUGAUUACUAUAGGUAUAACACAGUUUACAACAUAUGCCCCCACAUGUUUAAUUAAAGCAAUGUCGGUCAAACUACGACUAGACUCAUUCCCUCUAAUCCUAUAAGAGAGGUUUAAGGAGGUCUCUCUAAUUUCUAAUGGAGUCGGUUAUUAAAAGCUCAUAGUUUACCACCCUCACCACCUCUUUGCAUUUUGAGAGUGGAGUUACCGAAAUGGUUUUAUAUGAUAAGUGUUUAAAGUUAAAUAGUAUUAACUAAAAGUGUUAAAAUAAAAUCUUGUUUUAUAUAAUUAAAACGUGAGUCAUAUGCUACACAUGAAAAACAUACAGUUCCUUUAUAAUAUUUUGAUGGAGCAUUUCUGGUUAGACGACACAUCAAUUUGAGGAUUAUAGUUAGACAUGAUAUGAAACUCACCAAUCUUAAGCGUACCUUGAGCUGAAAAUCAUGCGGUUUUUGCAUGGUUGAUUCACUAUUUGUUCUAUGAUCCACGACAUCCCUGUCAUAAAAAUUAAAUGAACACAGUCAUUGACUCUAGUCAAUGAACCUCAAAAGAUAUAGGAGUUUAAUAGUGAAAGAAAUUGAUAAAAAUUAUUGUCUAUCUAAAUAACUUUAUGGUGUGUUUACGGCAUCCCUUUACACAUUACAAAUCCAAAAAUGGAUCAUAUAAUUGUUAAAUAAUUCUUUUUAGGUAAGUUAUUUUUAAGUGUAAAAUCAAACUAACUAAACUCUCCCUUUUGUAGAUGUCGAACCCGAAGAACAACAACAACAACCUUCCUCCUCCUCCUCCACAACCAUCACCACCACCUCACUCGAACUUCUCACUUUUGUCGGUUCUUUCUAGGGAGAAACUCACUGGACCAACUACAUACAUUAGAUCCGCACCUUAAGGAUCACCUUGAGGUAUGAGAACAAAGAGUUUGUUCUCGAUGGUGAACUCCCUAAAAUCACUAAAGAAUUUACUGACGAAUAAAUUGUUGCUUACAAUAAACACUACGAUGAGUCGACUAAGGUUGCUUGCCUUAUGUUGACAACCAUGUCCUCUGAGCUCCAAAAUGGCUUUGAGAACUAGGGUGCAUGCAUCAUAAAUUAUCAACUCAAGGAUAUGUUUCAAGAGCAAGCUAGGUUAGAACGAUUUGAGAUCGUUAAGUCCCUAAUGUCGUGUAAAUGUCAAGAGGGAGAUUUUAUAUGUAUGCACGUUCAGAAAAUGAAUUCGUACAUAAACAGACCGGAUCUCUCACCCCUUAGCUAAAUGGAGUAAAAUUACCUUCUACCAAAGUAUAUUGUUAUUUUUGAGCACCUCAAAGAUAUAUUCCUUCACUUGUUGGCUCUUAAAUUAAAAUUAAUUGAUGCUUAAUUUUAUUAACAUCCGUUUAACUUUUAAAAAAUAUCCAAAAUGAAUCUAUUUUGUUUAAGAUAGUAAUUUUUACUAAGCUAUAAAUAUAAUAGACUACUAAGGUAUUUAUUUCACAAUUCACGCAACAUGACUUGUAUUAUACAACUUGUGUAACUUCAUAAGUUAUAGAGUUAAUGGCAUUGUUGACUAACCAAUUGUUCGUUUUGAUCUUGUUUGUGCAUUAUAGGUCACUAAAUAUGUCAAAUAAGUCUUCUUUUUUUCGGGAUGUGAAGAAGUUAUCCGGUUAUCAUCACUAUGUGGCAUGCCAUAUUGAUAUGAUGCUAACAUCAACAUAAUGGGUCCACGUGACUUCUACAUGGAUUAUUCUCUUAAAAUUCUAAUUUAUUAUUAUUUAUUAAAAUUUCAAAUUAUUAUUAUGAAUAAUAAUUUACAUGAAAAUGAGAAGAUAGGUUCAGGAAAAGAUCUAAGUUUUUGUUCUUGGUGAACAACACCAUCCACCUCCCACCACCAUUUCAAAUUGCAAAAAUGAAUCAGUCAUAUGAGAAUCUAUUAUUUAUUCUAAUAAAUGAAUAGUUUUAAUUUUUUUUUGUCAAGUGUCACUCCAAUACAACUCCUCAUUAAUAUUAUUUCAUGUGUCAUGUAGAUAUAUUAGGCAACUCAUUUCAAAAUUCAAAUUUAUUUUCUAAUUAUAUGUUAAAUUUGAAGUUAUAAUAACUUUAAAAUUUUAAUAUAUCUCUUAAUUAAUAAUUUAUUUAAAAUAAUUGAUUAAUAAUUGUAAAUUUUUAUUGUGAAAAUUUAAUUAAUUUUAUAACCAGUGAUUCCCACAGGUUAUAAACUAGUACGUGAAUAAACCAAUAAACCAAUAUCAAAAGCUAAAUGUGAAUCCAGAUCAACAUAAUGAAUCCAAGUCUACAAAAAAAAAAAAAAAAAAAAAAAAAAAAAAAAAAAAAAAAAUAGAUCGUUUAUAGUUUCUAAAGAACAGGCACAUAAACACGGGUGUUAACCCCAAGUUAAAUCACAAAAAAAACGCGACUCGAUUUACAAUGUUUCCUUCUUGUGUCUAUUGAUUGAGCUCUUAUGGAUUCAACGUUGUUUCUUUCUUUUUUUUUUAUCUCUCGAUCGAACUCCCUCUCUCAUUGAAUCUCAUUCUAUUUUGUUUUCAAAAUGCAUAUUGAUUAUAUAGACACAACAACGGGUGCACAUUCUUCUGUUUCUCUCUUUUUGGGUCCACCACUCCACCACCAACAAUUGUUGCUUCUAUGAAGAAACCCUAAUCUAAAAACAAAAGAAACACAUAGACAGAGAAGUCGACAUGUGUGGAUGUAUGGUACCAGAUUUGUGGACGAAUGAAGAUAUGGAUGCUUUGUGCAGGAAAAU